rnacentral:rRNA from 1 species
UACAGAGGUCCCAAGCGUUGUUCGGAUUCACUGGGCGUAAAGGGUGCGUAGGUGGCCAGGUAAGUUUGGUGUGAAAGCUCGGAGCUUAACUCCGAAAUGGCAUUGAAUACUAUCUGGCUGGAGGGUCGGAGGGGAGACUGGAAUUCUCGGUGUAGCAGUGGAAUGCGUAGAUAUCGAGAGGAACACCAGUGGCGAAGGCGAGUCUCUGGACGACACCUGACACUGAGGCACGAAAGCUAGGGGAGCAAACAGG